rnacentral:tmRNA from 1 species
GGGGGCGAACUGGUUUCGACCGGGCGGGUGAAGCGCGAAUUGCGCGUCGAGGUUGAUCGGUGGGCCUCGUUAAAAGCCGAUUAAACUUUCAAUUGCCAAUAACCAAAUGGCUAUGGCUGCCUGAGAAUAGGCAACCCCGAAUAUGAGUCUUUUCCGAAGAGACGGAGUAUUCGGUCGCUAAAUUCGGAUCGUCUGUCGCCGCGUCAGACACUCGACAGAUUAAACCUUGCUUCUGAAUCGUUCUGGCGAAACCGUCGUCGAUAAGGGUUCAACGGAAUUAAACAAAACAAAGAAUCGACUACACGCGUAGACGUUCUCGUAGAGACGUCGCGGGACGCGGGUUCGAUUCCCGCCGCCUCCAC